GGGAUCCGGCACCCCGGGAGACACGGGUGGUCAGGCCUCUGUGCAUGUUCCUUCAACACGGUCUCUAAGAUUAAACAGCCGCACUCGUUGGAGAAAGAAGAACCCAUCAGAGGAACUCCGAGGACUUCCUGUCUCCAUAUUCAUUAGCCUACCUGCCUCCACGCCCAUCCUGUCAACAGCGCCAUGCAUCAGAGAGCAGCAGGACCUGUUUGAAGGGCUGUAGCCUGUCUUCAAGGAGAGCCUGUGCUCUGUUCCCAGUGUUUUUGCUGGUACGACUUUGGUUGAGAUGCCUUCCUCUGACCAGCUCGACUGCAUUGCGAUUACUUCCAAUAACGGCUGGUAUGCCCUGUGUUCUGCCAAAUGCCAGAAGCCUGUGGUCAUCAACACCUGACUAUAAUAGGAUGUUCCUCUUGUUAAAAGCUGCUGAGCUCGGUACAAGGAAAUCGUUUCUCACCUCAGCCUUCCUUUAUGGUUAACCCAACCUUCAGGCCUUCAGAUGACCUUCCUGAGUUGCAAGAAGUCAUGCGUUGAAGUGGGAGACCUGAGUUUUCUGCGACUGACAGUCGGACUCGAGCCUGCUCCUGGGCAGUGAUCAGCCCACAACCCCGCCCCUUCCCACUCUGCAGAGCAGGUCAGGCCUGGCUGCCUCGGAACAAGACCUGCACCCACACCCGUCCUCUGAGCUACCGCUUUGCGACAUGCCUUUCCUGUCUCGGGGAGUGCAUUUCUCCUGUAGCACACCUGCCGUCUGCCACCGCCUUCUGUGCUCCAUUGCUGUACUGUUGACUCGGUGACUCAAGCCUGCUCUCAACGGGCAUUUUAGCGAGAUUUCAUCCCUGUAAAAAUGAUGUGAUAAAUUUAGAGCACUGAAUAUAUCCUGAUGCUAUUUAUGUAUUUUAUUUUAAACUGCACAUGCUGGUUUUUUUGUCCUUUUGCUCUCAGAUCUAUUCUCUGCAGUCCUCAAUCCUGGGCUUUGCAUCCCUGGGAACAAUUUUCCCAGUUGCCCUUACAGACCUGGCCAAAGAGAGCCAGGGAUGGAACAUAGUGAGCGGAGGGGAGAAGCCAGGUUAUUUCUCCCCUCUUCUCUGCUUCUAAUGGUGACAGGCAGCGUCUCAUCCAUGUCCCCAGCACCUGCUGUACAGCCCUUUCCCCAUGGUCCAGCAUUAGCCUGGGGGGCUGCUGGGGUUCCAUAUUCUUCCAGGUGGCCCCAGCACCGGGGCUCCAGCCACACUGUCUUCUCCCUUCAUCCCUCGAGCCCCAGGUUGGUGGUGGGCGAUCUCUGGCCUCUCCCCUCCUGCAUCAGCUGUAUUGAACUCCCUCUGUGAUGUUGAGCACAGCUUCUGCCUUCUGGUUGGACUCUCACUAAAACACUCUGAAUGUAUGUUAUGCCUUUAAAAAAAAUAGCUUGAUUAUGGCAUAAUUUACAUAUAUAAGACCACAACUUUCAUA